GUCCGCGUAGAUUAUUUUUGUUAAAUCGUUAGGCUGUUAACUUUGAGAUGGUAUUUUACCCGUGAACG
rnacentral:tRNA from 1 species